rnacentral:rRNA from 1 species
AACGAACGCUGGCGGCAUGCCUAACACAUGCAAGUCGAACGAGACCUUCGGGUCUAGUGGCGCACGGGUGCGUAACGCGUGGGAAUCUGCCCUUGGGUUCGGAAUAACUCGCCGAAAGGCGUGCUAAUACCGGAUGAUGUCGUAAGACCAAAGAUUUAUCGCCCAGGGAUGAGCCCGCGUAAGAUUAGGUAGUUGGCGAGGUAAAGGCUCACCAAGCCGACGAUCUUUAGCUGGUCUGAGAGGAUGAUCAGCCACACUGGGACUGAGACACGGCCCAG